rnacentral:rRNA from 1 species
AUUGAACGCUGGCGGCAUGCCUUACACAUGCAAGUCGAACGGCAGCACGGGUGCUUGCACCUGGUGGCGAGUGGCGAACGGGUGAGUAAUACAUCGGAACAUGUCCUGUAGUGGGGGAUAGCCCGGCGAAAGCCGGAUUAAUACCGCAUACGAUCUACGGAUGAAAGCGGGGGACCUUCGGGCCUCGCGCUAUAGGGUUGGCCGAUGGCUGAUUAGCUAGUUGGUGGGGUAAAGGCCUACCAAGACGACGAUCAGUAGCUGGUCUGAGAGGACGACCAGCCACACUGGGACUGAGACACGGCCCAGACUCCUACGGGAGGCAGCAGUGGGGAAUUUUGGACAAAGGGCGAAAGCCUGAUCCAGCAAUGCCGCGUGUGUGAAGAAGGCCUUCGGGUUGUAAAGCACUUUUGUCCGGAAAGAAAUCCUUGGCCCUAAUACGGUCGGGGGAUGACGGUACCGGAAGAAUAAGCACCGGCUAACUACGUG